AAGGUACUAGUAAAACUUUAUUACCUUGCCUUGUCAAGGCAAAAAUGUAGGUUAAAAUCCUGCGUACCUUA
rnacentral:tRNA from 1 species